CUGACACCCAUUCACUCCCACUGAUGAAAAAAAGGCUGAGAGAUUAAAUAAAAAAGCAAUGAAAGAUGGCAGCAGAUUCUGAGUUCAGAAACAUUGCAUGCAGAGAACAGAUGUCUCAUGAAGCGUACCUGUAACAGGGGGCAAGAUAAAGACGAUUGUGAUGUGUAAGCCACUCAGCACUUACUCCAGCCAGAAGCCCAC